rnacentral:rRNA from 1 species
CGGGGGCAGAGUGACAGGUGGUGCAUGGUUGUCGUCAGCUCGUGUCGUGAGAUGUUGGGUUAAGUCCCGCAACGAGCGCAACCCUUGAUCUUAGUUGCCAGCAUUCAGUUGGGCACUCUAAGGUGACUGCCGGUGACAAACCGGAGGAAGGUGGGGAUGACGUCAAAUCAUCAUGCCCCUUAUGACCUGGGCUACACACGUGCUACAAUGGACAGAACAAAGGGCAGCGAAACCGCGAGGUUAAGCCAAUCCCACAAAUCUGUUCUCAGUUCGGAUCGCAGUCUGCAACUCGACUGCGUGAAGCUGGAAUCGCUAGUAAUCGCGGAUCAGCAUGCCGCGGUGAAUACGUUCCCGGGCCUUGUACACACCGCCCGUCACACCACGAGAGUUUGUAACACCCGAAG